GGCUGGAGGAAUAGUGGAAAGCAUUCCCGCCUGUCACGCGGGUGACCCGGGUUCGAUCCCCAGCAACGGCGCCA